rnacentral:rRNA from 1 species
UACAGAGGUCUCAAGCGUUGUUCGGAUUCAUUGGGCGUAAAGGGUGCGUAGGCGGCGCGGUAAGUCGGGUGUGAAAUCUCGGAGCUUAACUCCGAAACUGCAUUCGAUACUGCCGUGCUUGAGGACUGGAGAGGAGACUGGAAUUUACGGUGUAGCGGUGAAAUGCGUAGAUAAUCGUAAGGAAGACCAGUGGCGAAGGCGGGUCUCGUGGACAGUUCCUGACGCUGAGGCACGAAGGCCAGGGGAGCAAACGGG